CUAUCUUGGGGGCUCUGUGGUUACUGGUGCUGGCCGACAUUCAGGACUUCGAGAUCAUACUUCACAGAGUGGAAUGGGCCACCCUGUUGUUCUUUGCUGCUCUGUUUGUGCUUAUGGAGGCCCUAGCCCAGCUGCAGCUCAUCGACUACAUCGGGGAGCAGACAGCAGUGUUGAUAAAAGCAGUGCCAGAGGAUGAGCGGUUGGCCAUCGCCAUCAUUUUGGUCAUGUGGGUCUCAGCACUGGCCUCCUCUCUUAUAGACAACAUUCCCUUCACUGCC